UCGAAGCUAUGGAUUCCAUUUUGUUUCGACAGAAUGGAGUGGUAGGAGAGCGUUCUCAACGCAGCGAAGCCGAACCGAAAGGGAUGGUGGAGUGUUGAGAAGUGAGAAUGCAGACAUGAGUAGCGAUAAACCAGAUGAGAAUUCUGGUCGCCGUAAACCCAAGGUUUCCUGGGGCAGGUUCGUCCUCCCAGGGUUAGCCGGGAGCUAAGAUGAGGCCGUAAGACGUAAUCGAUGCACAGAUGGUUAAUAUUCCAUCGCCGUUCCGGUUUAAGGCCAGCAGGUACGCAUAGAGAGAACCCACUAGACAAUCGAAUGUCGAGCCGAGCCUUCGGGCAAAGCGCAUGGGCGGACAGUGUGCCGAGAAAAGCUGCUGGUUGUUCCCCGGAGCGCCCGUACCGCAAACCGACACAGGUGGGUGAGUCGAGUAGACUAAGGCGCGCGAGAGAAACCUUUCUAAGGAACUCUGCAAAAUAGCCCCGUAACUUCGGGAGAAGGGGUGCCCAACGCAAGUUGGGUCUCAGUAAAUUGGGUUUAGCGACUGUUUAACAAAAACACAGCACUCUGCCAAGUCGUGAAGACGACGUAUAGGGUGUGACACGUGACCAAUGCGGAAAGAUCAAGGUGAGUUGUUAGCCGCAAGGCGAAGCUCCGAGCCUAAGUCCCCGUGAAUGUCGGCCGUAACUAUAACGGUCCUAAGGUAGCGAAAUUCCUUGUCGGGUAAGUUCCGACCUGCACGAAUCGUGUAACGACUGAACCGCUGUCUCGGAGAGGAUCUCGGCGAAAUUGUAACUGCGGUGAAGAUGCCGCAUGCCCGCAGUAGGACGGAAAGACCCUAUGCACCUUUACUGUAAGCUGAUAUUGUGUUCUGGUUCAUGAUGCGUAGCGUAGGUGGGAGGCGUUGAUGCCACGGUUUAGGCCGUGGUGGAGCUGAAAUGUGAAACACCACUCUUUGUGAAUUAGGAUUCUAACCUCCGCCUGUUAGCCAGGGGAGGGACAGUGUCUGCGGGUCAGUUUGGCUGGGGCGGCUUCCUCCCAAAAAGUAACGGAGGAGCGCGAAGCUGGGCUCAACAUGGUUUGCAACCAUGUGUCGAGCGUAUGGGUAUAAGCCCGGUUAACUGCAAGACCUACAAGUCGAGCAGAUGCGAAAGCAGGCCCAAAUGAUCCGACGGUGGAAUGUGGAAUUGCCGUCGCUCAACGGACAAAAGGUACGCUAGGGAUAACAGGCUGAUCGAUUCCAAGAGUUCAUAUCGACGAAUCGGUUUGGCACCUCGAUGUCGGCUCAUCGCAUCCUGGGGCUGGAGAAGGUCCCAAGGGUCCGGCUGUUCGCCGGUUAAAGCGGUACGCGAGCUGGGUUCAGAACGUCGUGAGACAGUUCGGUCCUUAUCCACUGUGGGCGCAGGAAACUUGAGGGGUUCAUUCCCUAGUACGAGAGGACCGGGAAUGACGCGCUUCUGGUGUGGCAAUUGUAUCGUCAGAUGCAUCGUUGCGUAGCCAUGCGCGGAAGAGAUAAGCGCUGAAAGCAUCUAAGCGCCAAGCUCCUCCCAAGAUAUGGUUUCCCUGUCGCAAGACACUAAAGGCCCCCGGAAGACCACCGGGUUGAUAGGUUGGGCGUGCACAACAAGUAAUUGUUUUAGCGGACCAAUACUAAUCGGCCGUGAGGCUUGAUC
rnacentral:rRNA from 1 species